UGGGGAAUAUUGCACAAUGGGCACAAGCCUGAUGCAGCCAUGCCGCGUGUGUGAAGAAGGCCUUCGGGUUGUAAAGCACUUUCAGCGAGGAGGAAGGUGGUGAGCUUAAUACGCUCAUCAAUUGACGUUACUCGCAGAAGAAGCACCGGCUAACUCCGUGCCAGCAGCCGCGGUAAUACGGAGGGUGCAAGCGUUAAUCGGAAUUACUGGGCGUAAAGCGCACGCAGGCGGUUUGUUAAGUCAGGUGUGAAAUCCCCGGGCUCAACCUGGGAACUGCAUUUGAAACUGGCAAGCUAGAGUCUCGUAGAGGGGGGUAGAAUUCCAGGUGUAGCGGUGAAAUGCGUAGAGAUCUGGAGGAAUACCGGUGGCGAAGGCGGCCCCCUGGACGAAGACUGACGCUCAGGUGCGAAAGCGUGGGGAGCAAAACAGGAUUAGAUACCCUGGUAGUCCACGCUGUAAACGAUGUCGAUUUUGGAGGUUGUGCCCUUGAGGCGUGGCUUCCGGAGCUAACGCGUUAAAUCGACCGCCUGGGGAGUACGGCCGC
rnacentral:rRNA from 1 species